rnacentral:rRNA from 1 species
CAGUCGCCGCGGGAAUACGGAGGAUCCAAGCGUUAUCCGGAAUCAUUGGGUUUAAAGGGUCCGUAGGCGGUCUUGUAAGUCAGUAGUGAAAGCCCAUCGCUCAACGGUGGAACGGCCAUUGAUACUGCAGGACUUGAAUUAUUGGGAAGUAACUAGAAUAUGUAGUGUAGCGGUGAAAUGCUUAGAGAUUACAUGGAAUACCAAUUGCGAAGGCAGGUUACUACCAAUUGAUUGACGCUGAUGGACGAAAGCGUGGGUAGCGAACAGGAUUAGAUACCCCCGUAGUCCCUGUCUCUUAUAA